rnacentral:tRNA from 1 species
GGGGUUGUGGCUCAGAGGAAAAGCGCUCACCUAGCAUGUGUGAGGCACUGAGUUCGAUGCUCAGCACCACA